rnacentral:rRNA from 1 species
UACGUAGGGUGCGAGCGUUAAUCGGAAUUACUGGGCGUAAAGCGUGCGCAGGCGGUUUUCCAAGACAGAUGUGAAAUCCCCGGGCUCAACCUGGGAAUGGCAUUUGUGACUGCAUCGCUGGAGUACGGCAGAGGGGGAUGGAAUUCCGCGUGUAGCAGUGAAAUGCGUAGAUAUGCGGAGGAACACCGAUGGCGAAGGCAAUCCCCCUGGGC